rnacentral:tRNA from 1 species
AGUGACGUAGUUAAUAUAUAUAAUAAUAGGUUGUCGACUUAUAGUUGCUUUGGUUUUAGGCCGUUACUU